GGCUAGUGGUGACAGGUGUUUGCUAGACAACAGCAGAAUACUGGGAAUCAGAACUCCUGAAUUCUAUACUCCUGCAUUCUAGGAAAGCAGUGGGAUCUAAAUGGUUAGGGUGGGGAGGGGGCUAAGGAAUUGGGGUGCAAGGCUAUAGCUCUGGCUUUGGGAGGGAGUGGCCAUUCACUAGGUUUCAAAGAAAGAGCUUCUCUUUUUUUUCCAUUUUCCCCCUAUUCCACCAACCGAGUUUAUCUCUCCAAAGCUGUUUUCACUUUUAAAAUCAUCUUAUUACCAAUGAGACAGUUGAAAUAGCUUCUUACAGUAGGUGUCUCCAGUCAAUGACUGAUUUGCAUUAAGAAAGAUAUGACAGGCAAGUGUGAAGAGGCAAGAAUGAUCGUUUAAUUUUAGAAAAAUUCCACAUUCGUUUCAGAAAUGAUUAGAGUAGGCAAGCUCCAGCUCAGAAGCUCCAGGUGGCUCAGUCAUGAAAAUGGUGGGGUCCUGGCCUCUCUCUAACAAGCGAUACAGACUAGCAGGGAAAGCACGUUCCUUCGCUCAGAUGCAGCAAGGGAAGAAUGUCCCCACCGGCCUUCGAGCUGAGAAAAACAAAAUAUUUUCCGGGGUUUUUUACUGGACAAAGGUGGCAAAACCGGACUGGCCGGGUGAAAACUGGACACCUGGCAACCCUAUUCACACCCACACCCUAUCUCCAGCUCACUGAAGAAAGGGAGAGAGGCUUUUCCCUCCCUCCCUCCAACUCAGCCUCUCUUGCUGCAAAAUGUGGUGAACUGGCAAAGUGCAGAGAAAGGGUGAAUGCUGCUGCGGGCGACUGCAUGAAGGAAAAUACAUUGUACUGAGCUGAACCCACAAAUCCACCUCUGUUAUCCAGAUACACACCAGUGCUAGGAAGUAUUAGCCAAGGCCAUUAUUGACUCUGUCUUUGCAAGGAGUGGGGGAGGGUGGAAGCAGAGGAAAUAGCAUGUUUAUACUGUCAUAGAACCUGUAAAAACAAAGUGGUUUGUUUAGUAAGAAAAGCUUUGUCUUUGUUUAACCCUAAAAUCAGGUUCCUUAUCUGGUAUAUAUUUUAGAGAGUUUGUGUGCCUGUUUGUCAGCGUGGGAGUCCAUCCUUCUGAGAGACAUAAAAGCUAUUGAGUCAAAUUCAGCCUUGGUAUAAGCAGGUACAACUCCUUUGCCUUCAACAGAGUUGCACACACACAUGCUGUAGCCCAAUGACUUUAAGGGAAAGCCCCUCUCUUUGUUCAGGUGUUUUCCAAAAAGGCGGCAGCUUUUGACUCUGAUCUAACUAGCUGACAUUGUACAUGGUAUUGGGCAUUGUGCAUGUCUCCUUGAACAUGCCUGGGGCAUGUGUUUACAAAGUAAAUAGUAAAAUAAAGGUCCAAAAUAAAUAGA